rnacentral:rRNA from 1 species
CCUACGGGAGGCAGCAGUGAGGAAUAUUGGUCAAUGGGCGCGAGCCUGAACCAGCCAAGUCGCGUGAGGGAAGACGGUCCUAUGGAUUGUAAACCUCUUUUGUCGGGGAGCAAAAGCCGCCACGCGUGGCGUUCCGAGAGUACCCGAAGAAAAAGCAUCGGCUAACUCCGUACCAGCAGCCGCGGUAAUACGGAGGAUGCGAGCGUUAUCCGGAUUUAUUGGGUUUAAAGGGUGCGCAGGCGGAAGAUAAAGUCAUCGGUAAAAUUGAGAGGCUCAACCUCUUCGAGCCGUUGAAACUGGUUGUCUUGAGUGUGUGAGAAGUAUGCGGAAUGCGUGGUGUAGCGGUGAAAUGCAUAGAUAUCACGCAGAACUCCGAUUGCGAAGGCAGCAUACCGGCGCUCAACUGACGCUCAUGCACGAAAGUGUGGGUAUCGAACAGGAUUAGAUACCCUUGUAGUC